rnacentral:rRNA from 1 species
UACGGGGGGGGGCAAGCGUUGUUCGGAAUUACUGGGCGUAAAGGGCCUCGUGAGGCGGCCAACUAAGUCAGACGUGAAAUCCCUCGGCUUAACCGGGGAACUGCAUCUGGUACUGGAUGGCUUGAGUUCGGGAGAGGGAUGCGGAAUUCCAGGUGUAGCGGUGAAAUGCGUAGAUAUCGUGGAGGAACACCGGUGGUGGUAGACGG